rnacentral:rRNA from 1 species
AACGAACGCUGGCGGCAGGCUUAACACAUGCAAGUCGAACGCAUCCUUCGGGGUGAGUGGCAGACGGGUGAGUAACGCGUGGGAACGUGCCCUUCAGUUCGGGAUAACCCAGGGAAACUUGGGCUAAUACCGGAUACGUGCGAGAGCAGAAAGAUUUAUCGCUGAAGGAUCGGCCCGCGUCUGGUUAGCUAGUUGGUGGGGUAAUGGCCCACCAAGGCGACGAUCAGUAGCUGGUCUGAGAGGAUGAUCAGCCACAUUGGGACUGAGACACGGCCCAAACUCCUACGGGAGGCAGCAGUGGGGAAUAUUGGACAAUGGGCGCAAGCCUGAUCCAGCCAUGCCGCGUGAGUGAUGAAGGCCUUAGGGUUGUAAAGCUCUUUCGUCCGGGACGAUAAUGACGGUACCGGAAGAAGAAGCACCGGCUAACUACGUGCCAGCCGCCGCCGUAA